rnacentral:rRNA from 1 species
GGCAGCAGUAAGGAAUAUUGCGCAAUGGGCGAAAGCCUGACGCAGCAACGCCGCGUGCGGGAAGAAGGGCUUCGGCUCGUAAACCGCUUUUCUGCGGGAAGAGCAAGGACGGUACCGCAGGAAUAAGUCUCGGCUAACUACGUGCCAGCAGCCGCGGUAAAACGUAGGAGGCGAACGUUAUCCGGAUUUACUGGGCGUAAAGCGCGUGCAGGUGGUCUGCUAAGUCGUGCGUGAAAGCUCCCUGGCUCAACCCUGAGACGCCAUCCGAUACUGCGCUGACUGGAGUCCGGUAGGGGAGCAUGGAAUUCCUGGUGUAGCGGUGAAAUGCGCAGAUAUCAGGAGGAACACCAGUGGCGAAGGCGGUGCUCUGGGCCGGAACUGACGCUGAGGAGCGAAAGCAUGGGUAGCAAACAGGAUUAGAUACCCUGGUAGUCCAUGCCGUAAACGUUGGGCACUAGGUGUGGGGUCUUCUUAACGGAUUCCGUGCCGUAGCUAACGCAUUAAGUGCCCCGCCUGGGGAGUACGGCCGCAAGGCUAAAACUCAAAGGAAUUGACGG